rnacentral:sRNA from 1 species
CCAGGUUGGAAAGUGGAAUCCAGUUCCACUGUCUUACGUGACAGAUGCCCCUGAUGCUACAGUAGCAGAUAUGCUUCAAGAUGUGUAUCAUGUGGUCACAUUGAAAAUUCAGUUACACAGUUGCCCCAAACUAGAAGACUUGCCUCCCGAACAAUGGUCGCACACCACAGUGAGGAAUGCUCUGAAGGACUUACUGAAAGAUAUGAAUCAGAGUUCAUUGGCCAAGGAGUGCCCCCUUUCACAGGUACUUAGCAUAGCAUGUAAUAAAUAAUAAGACAUCAUGGGCAACCCUGAUUUGAGGUUUGAUGGAGCUCCCUGGUUUAAAGCAACUGGUAUCUGAAGCAAGAAUCUGCCAAAAAUGCAAAGUGACUUGACCACUGGUGACCUUUUAAAAUAUGCCUGAUUC